GACUAGCACUUCCCUCCUGCCCUGGGGGACUUGCUUCCGGGUGUUGGAGGAGGAAGGAGCUUGUUCAGCUCAGUCUGGUGUAGUGUGCCGCCUCUUCUUGGUUCAGCCCGAAGAUUCAGGUCCAUUCAUCUCUGAAGUGUUUUGAAUUUCCAUCUACUCUUGGAUGGAAGCAAUAUGAACAGUGUUGGAUCUGGAGUCAGGAAAAUCUAGAAUCAAAGCCUGCCUUUGAUGCUUACUUGCUAUGAAGAGAAAAUAUACAGGCACUUUGUCCCAAGAGGGAAGAGACUGAUCGAGGA
rnacentral:lncRNA from 1 species